UGUUUGAUGUUCUAACGUGGACCCGUGAUCCGGGUUGCGGACAGUGUCUGGUGGGUAGUUUGACUGGGGCGGUCUCCUCCUAAAGAGUAACGGAGGAGCACGAAGGUUGGCUAAUCCUGGUCGGACAUCAGGAGGUUAGUGCAAUGGCAUAAGCCAGCUUGACUGCGAGCGUGACGGCGCGAGCAGGUGCGAAAGCAGGUCAUAGUGAUCCGGUGGUUCUGAAUGGAAGGGCCAUCGCUCAACGGAUAAAAGGUACUCCGGGGAUAACAGGCUGAUACCGCCCAAGAGUUCAUAUCGACGGCGGUGUUUGGCACCUCGAUGUCGGCUCAUCACAUCCUGGGGCUGAAGUAGGUCCCAAGGGUAUGGCUGUUCGCCAUUUAAAGUGGUACGCGAGCUGGGUUUAGAACGUCGUGAGACAGUUCGGUCCCUAUCUGCCGUGGGCGCUGGAGAACUGAGGGGGGCUGCUCCUAGUACGAGAGGACCGGAGUGGACGCAUCACUGGUGUUCGGGUUGUCAUGCCAAUGGCACUGCCCGGUAGCUAAAUGCGGAAGAGAUAAGUGCUGAAAGCAUCUAAGCACGAAACUUGCCCCGAGAUGAGUUC
rnacentral:rRNA from 2 species